rnacentral:rRNA from 1 species
ACCGGGAACUGGGUAUAAUACCCGAUAGGUCUCGAUUGCUGGAAUGCAUCGAGAUUUAAAGCUCCGGCGCCUAAGGAUGGGUCUGCGGCCUAUCAGGUAGUAGUGGGUGUAGCGUACCUACUAGCCUACGACGGGUACGGGUUGUGAGAGCAAGAGCCCGGAGAUGGAUUCUGAGACACGAAUCCAGGCCCUACGGGGUGCAGCAGGCGCGAAAACUUUACAAUGCUGGCAACAGCGAUAAGGGAACCUCGAGUGCCAGGUUACAAAUCUGGCUGUCGAGAUGCCUAAAAAGCAUUUCAUAGCAAGGGCCGGGCAAGACCGGUGCCAGCAGCCGCGGUAAUACGAU